rnacentral:rRNA from 1 species
UUCUGACCUCGGAUCAGGUGGGACUACCCGCUGAACUUAAGCAUAUCAAUAAGCGGAGGAAAAGAAACUAACAAGGAUUCCCCUAGUAACGGCGAGUGAAGCGGGAUGAGCUCAAAUUUAAAAUCUGGCAGUCUUUGGCUGUCCGAAUUGUAAUCUAGAGAAGUGU